rnacentral:rRNA from 1 species
AGGAAUUGACGGAAGGGCACCACCAGGAGUGGAGCCUGCGGCUUAAUUUGACUCAACACGGGAAACCUCACCAGGCCCGGACACCGGAAGGAUUGACAGAUUGAUAGCUCUUUCUUGAUUCGGUGGGUGGUGGUGCAUGGCCGUUCUUAGUUGGUGGAGCGAUUUGUCUGGUUAAUUCCGAUAACGAACGAGACUCUAGCCUGCUAACUAGGCGUCUCCGGUAUCCACAAUAGUGCUACCGGCGAAUAAAUUUCUUCUUAGAGGGACAGGCGGCUUCUAGCCGCACGAGACUGAGCAAUAACAGGUCUGUGAUGCCCUUAGAUGUCCUGGGCCGCACGCGCGCUACACUGAAGGAAUCAGCGUGUCUUCCCUGGCCGAAAGGUCCGGGUAACCCGUUGAACCUCCUUCGUGCUAGGGAUUGGGGCUUGCAAUUGUUCCCCAUGAACGAGGAAUUCCCAGUAAGCGCGAGUCAUAAGCUCGCGUUGAUUACGUCCCUGCCCUUUGUACACACCGCCCGUCGCUACUACCGAUUGAAUGAUUUAGUGAGGUCUUCGGACUGGUGCGCGGCGAUCGCCUCGUGUGGUCGCCGAUGUUGCCGGGAAGAUGACCAAACUUGAUCAUUUAGAGGAAGUAAAAGUCGUAAC